rnacentral:rRNA from 1 species
UACGUAGGGGGCAAGCGUUGUCCGGAUUUAUUGGGCGUAAAGAGCGUGUAGGCGGCCUGACAGGUCUGCUGUGAAAACUCGAGGCUCAACCUCGAGAUGUCGGCGGAAACCGUCUGGCUAGAGUCCGGAAGAGGAGAGUGGAAUUCCUGGUGUAGCGGUGAAAUGCGCAGAUAUCAGGAGGAACACCGGUGGCGAAGGCGGGUCUCUGGGCAACUACUGACGCUGAGAGCGAAAGCGUGGGGAGCGAACAGG